rnacentral:rRNA from 1 species
AGGAUGGUAGAAUUCCAGGUGUAGCGGUGAAAUGCGUAGAGAUCUGGAGGAAUACCGAUGGCGAAGGCAGCCAUCUGGCCUAAUACUGACGCUGAGGUACGAAAGCAUGGGGAGCAAACAGGAUUAGAUACCCUGGUAGUCCAUGCCGUAAACGAUGUCUACUAGCCGUUGGGGCCCUUGAGGCUUUAGUGGCGCAGCUAACGCGAUAAGUAGACCGCCUGGGGAGUACGGUCGCAAGACUAAAACUCAAAUGAAUUGACGGGGGCCCGCACAAGCGGUGGAGCAUGUGGUUUAAUUCGAUGCAACGCGAAGAACCUUACCUGGCCUUGACAUACAGAGAACUUUCCAGAGAUGGAUUGGUGCCUUCGGGAACUCUGAUACAGGUGCUGCAUGGCUGUCGUCAGCUCGUGUCGUGAGAUGUUGGGUUAAGUCCCGCAACGAGCGCAACCCUUUUCCUUAUUUGCCAGCACUUCGGGUGGGAACUUUAAGGAUACUGCCAGUGACAAACUGGA